rfam:Cajanus cajan CcLG01_67, whole genome shotgun sequence.
CUUGAUUUUGUAAUUUUCAAUAAAUUUUAACUAAUGAGAAUAAAUGUGUUACGGUGAAUAACAUGUAAGAACUUACUCUUGAGAGGGAAACAACAACUAGAAAUAGUUGUUAAUACCUCGUAGGUUGAGGAGCAAAAGGAGAAAUCCGUCUUAAGAGGAACUCACAUCUGAUUAACUAGUUGGUGAGGUAAUAGCUUACUAAAGUGAUGAUCAGUAACUCGUUUGAGAGUAUGAUCAACUACACUGGAACUGAGACAUAGUCUAGACUCCUACAGGAGGUAGCAAUGGGAAAUUUUCCACAAGAGAUGAUAGCCUGAUAGAG